GAUGAACGCUGGCGGCGUGCCUAAUACAUGCAAGUCGAGCGAACAGACGAGGAGCUUGCUCCUCUGACGUUAGCGGCGGACGGGUGAGUAACACGUGGAUAACCUACCUAUAAGACUGGGAUAACUUCGGGAAACCGGAGCUAAUACCGGAUAAUAUAUUGAACCGCAUGGUUCAAUAGUGAAAGACGGUUUUGCUGUCACUUAUAGAUGGAUCCGCGCCGCAUUAGCUAGUUGGUAAGGUAACGGCUUACCAAGGCAACGAUGCGUAGCCGACCUGAGAGGGUGAUCGGCCACACUGGAACUGAGACACGGUCCAGACUCCUACGGGAGGCAGCAGUAGGGAAUCUUCCGCAGUGGGCGAAAGCCUGACGGAGCAACGCCGCGUGAAUGAUGAAGGUCUUCGGAUCGUAAAACUCUGUUAUUAGGGAAGAACAAAUGUGUAAGUAACUAUGCACGUCUUGACGGUACCUAAUCAGAAAGCCACGGCUAACUACGU
rnacentral:rRNA from 1 species